AGUCAAUAGAUACCCUGGUAGUCCAUGCCGUAAACGAUGAUUGCUAGGUGUGGGGGGUCUGACCCCUUCCGUGCCGGAGUUAAACACAAUAAGCAAUCCACCUGGGGAGUACGGCCGCAAGGUUGAAACUCAAAGGAAUUGACGGGGGCCCGCACAAGCAGUGGAGUAUGUGGUUUAAACUCGAAGCAACGCGAAGAACCUUACCAGGUCUUGACAUCCACCGAAUCCUGUAGAGAUACGGGAGUGCCCUUCGGGGAACGGUGAGACAGGUGGUGCAUGGUUGUCGUCAGCUCGUGUCGUGAGAUGUUGGGUUAAGUCCCGCAACGAGCGCAACCCUUGUGAAUAGUUGCUACGAAAGAGCACUCUAUUCAGACCGCCGUUGACAAAACGGAGGAAGGUGGGGAUGACGUCAAAUCAUCAUGCCCCUUAUGACCUGGGCUACACACGUACUACAAUGGCCGUUAACAGAGGGAUGCAAUGCCGCGAGGUGGAGCGAACCCCUAAAAACGGUCUCAGUUCAGAUUGCAGGCUGAAACUCGCCUGC
rnacentral:rRNA from 1 species